AAAAUGUGCAGUUUUACUGUAUUGGGGGGCUCUGAAAACCAGUCAGUAUCUGGUGUGACGACCAUUUGCCUCAUGUAGUGCAACACCUCUCCUUCGCCUAAAGUUGAUCAGGUUGUUGAUUGUGGCCUGUCCACUCCUCUUCAAUGGCUUAUUGUGGAUAUUGGCAGAACCUGGAACACGCUGUUGUAAACGCCGAUCCAGAGCAUCCCAAACAUGUUCAAUGGGUGACUUGUCUGGUGAGUAUGCUGGCCAUGCAAGAACUGGGAUGUUUUCAGCUUGCAGGAAUUGUGUACAGAUCCUUGCAACAUGGGGCCAUGCAUUAUCAUGCUGCAACAUGAGGGGAUGGUUG